UUUUAGCUGUUUGUUAGUGCUCGUUAUUGCUUAAUCAGGCAGUAAGCGGAAGCCCAGUAAAUCCACAGUUAUUUAGCAAUUACCCAGCAUGCACCAGUGAUAACGCUGGAACCCUGACAACAGCGUAGCUAGUUUCAUGUUAUUUCUUAAUUGGUUUCCAGUGUUGGAGGAAAGACAGGCUUCUUUGAAUAUGCACUGAUGCCUGACGACCUUUAGGUGGUAACCUUGUGCAAUGCAGCGUUCAUAUCUCCAUCUGGCUUUUUGUGUGGUUGUUUGUGUGUUUCCCCCCCCACCCAUCCCCCACAGACUGCGAGUGACCUGUCUGGGGCUCGAUGGGGGUGCUGUCAACCCAAGCACGGUUUGGGUGACUGCAGGUUAAAACUGAAGAGACAGCCAACGUGAGCACGACGUUACCUGUUAGAGCUUCCCCGUCUGUGGUCGUCUCCCACCUUGUCAAGGGAAGGGUCUAGGGGUUGUGUCUCAUGCUCUCUAUUGCAGACCAGACCGCGUGUCUCUUGGCCUAAAUGCAUGGCCGGAAACAGCCAGCCAUACCCCGGCCAAAUUACCACAGCAACAUAACCAAGAAUGUUCAUAACCUAUUAAUCAUCACGCCAUUGUAGAGACUGCUGAGAUGGUAAACUGCCCUUCAUCCAGCUUCUGAGCUCCCUCCCCGGCCCUCCCCCACCCCAGAACAUCAGCACCUACUGGAGCGAGGGCCACAAACUGGGGAAAAAGCUACUAGACUCAUCGCUGUUGGGUCCCCAGAUCCACGUUUGAUACCAGGAUAGUGACAUGAAGCUCUAUCUCACCAAAUAAUCAACCCCAACCACAUCACCAGGGAGGGGUCUACAAACACCAAGGGGGAACUUAUUUCAGUAAAGCAUCACCCCAGAAAUGGCUAUACUGACAUUGUCUUGAAUUGUAAAUCUGUUCAGACAAUAACUAUAAACAGAGUUUGGUCUA